UUAAGUUCAGCGGGUAGUCCCACCUGAUUCGAGGUCAGAUAUUAAGCAAUUAUCCAAAGAUGAUUAGAAGCGAUCCAAAGAGAGCCUGGCCAGUCCAGAGACUGUCCUCAACGUUAGAUAAUUAUCACGCUGAGUAGAACCAAACCUUCAUCAGGACCAGCUAAUGCAUUUAAGACCAGCCGCAUUGACACAGCAAAGUC
rnacentral:misc_RNA from 1 species